rnacentral:lncRNA from 1 species
AAAAAGACAACCAUUACAAGCUCAUUUAUUUUAUUUUAAUUAUGCAGAUUUCAUACAUUAAGGCUUUGGUGACAACAACAACGUUGAGAUAUAUCACAUGCUCCAUUUGAAAAACCUUGGCCUUUGCAUUCAAAGUUGCAAUCCUCUGCUGUGAAGUCAGUUGUGCAUGCCUUAAAGCAAAAUGGCCUACCUGAAUCAUUUAUUUGACCUGUCACCCAAAAAAAUUAGUUUAAAUUUUUACAAAAAAAGAAAAAAAUAUUAACAAACAAAAAAAAAAGGUUAUUAAAGGAUCUUAUGUAGUUACCUAGAGAUUUCGAUGCAGUUGAAAAUGAGACAAAUAGGAGGAGGAAAACAACUAAGAACUUGGGAAACUCCAUUUGAGGCUUACUCUGUUGAUAUAAAUGUUUAGAGUUUAG